UGCUCUGCAGACCGGAUGAGCGUCUUCUUUCUGCAAAAGACAAAAGGCGUCUUUGAAUUUCACCGCAUCCCAAAUCUAGGGAUGACACUGAGGUGACGAAGAACAGCGACACAGCAACAGUCAAGUCAGACACGGGCGAUUGGGGAUUGUUUGCUCGAGGGCCUCGAGGAAGCCGGAUAACGACCAACGCUCCACCUGGCUUGAUCCUGACUAACUGCGGGAAGUAUCGCAGUGAGGUUUGGCAAACAUGUUAUUAUUCAGUUAGAGGAGCUCGAUACGACAUUCAGAGCAAUAACCAGGAUUUGAGUUCCCAUUGAAAGCUUCUUUAAAUAAGUAAUGUGUUUCAUUUAUUUAAACCCACAUAAUUACCCCCUUGCUCCGCGGUUCUCUUCCGCUCCAUAUACCUUUUUAUUACAGCAGAAGAAAUGUGCUUAUUACAUUGUCUUGUCGAGAGUUAUCGACCAAAUAAUGGAUCCCGCGUUUUUUUUCUGGCCGCUAAUUAUGAAGCUAUGACCCGCAGCCUGGGAAAAGUCCCAGAGUGUCAUUCACAAUGACCACUGGGGGCAGCAAACGCACCUUUUGGCAGCUGCUCUGACAGUAAAGCAGGGGGGGUUGUAAAGAUACACCGCGUAUACACCACGUUCAAAAGUUUGGUGUCACUUAGAAAUAUCCUUAUUUUUCAAAGCACUGUUUUCUUCAAUGACGAUAACAUUAAAUGAAUCAUAAAUCCUCUCUACAUAGUUAAUGUGUACAUGACUAUUCUCUGGUGUUAAUGAAGUCUCUACAGAGGUGUCUAGAGUCCCGUCUCCAUGUUCUAAUGCUACAUUGUGUUAUUGCCUUAGAAGACUAGCGGAGGGGUAGAAAACCCUUGAAAACCCUUUUUAUGUGAGCGCAGCUGAAAACAGUUAUGCUGCUGAGAGAAGCUUUAACACUGGCCUUCCUUUGAGCCACAAGAAGAACAACAUUAAUAUUUACUAUAAAAAUCAUUAUUUAUAACCUCGUCAACGUCUUGACUAUAUUUUAUAUUCAUUUGAUAAAUAAAAGUGUGAUUUUUCAUGGGAAACACGAAAUUCUCUUGGUGACCCCAAACUUUUGAAUGGUACUGCAUAUAUAUAUAUAUAUAUAUAUAUAUAUAUAUAUAUAUAAGUUUGUCUUUAACUUUGGUUCCUUUUAAAAACAUGACCUUUAGCUGCUGGGAACUCAUACGCUGAUUAAGUCAUACCCACCAUUAUCUUCCAAAAAACACCCCGGUCCCAGAUACUGAUGUUUUUCCUGCAAGACAGAGGGCUGCAGUGUUUUUGGCGUGGCUGUCAUGGCUACUGCCGCGCUCCUCAGAGAAUAUUGUGGCUCCGAGACCUGGAUCUGUAGUCUUUAAUCCAAACCGUUUACAGACACAGAGAACAAAGCGUUGCCUUUAUUCAAACUCCAAAAACAGGGGUAUUAUAUAUCCCCCUCGCUCCUCUCUGUUCCCAGCUAAAAAUGGUUUGUGCAGAAUGGAAGCCAGCUCGUAAUUUACUGGCUUUAAGUCACGUCUCUGCCUAUUUGCAGAUCUCAGUAACGGGGAAGGGGGGGGGGGGGUAGAGUCCGAGAGACUCUGCAGACGAGUAAGAAAAUGUAUCGUCAAACAACUGGACUGCUCGGCUCACAUUAAGAUAAUCAGUCAUGGGACUGAGAGGGAAUUAAGUGAGAUGAGGGGGAAAAAAGUACAAUAUGUACGAUGCAAUGUCAUCCAAAUAUGCUGUUAGCGUAAUUGUGGCGGCGCUGGUGGCCUUUCAGCGGAGGAAUGUAUGGAAACCACCAGCUCACGUUACAGUGUAAGUGAAUGAUGUUAUAUAUAGUAAAAUUGCGGCCUCUUUAAUCGUAAAAAAAAUGUCAUUUGAAUGUAUUCCUUUAAAUGUUAAAGUAAGAUGUGGAUUUUUUUAUAAUUUGGUAAAGACGGCUGCAAGUAUUUAUGCUAAGCUAAGCCAACCGGUUUCAUAUUUAGCACAAAGCAUCAAGCAUCAAGAUGCGUCAAACCAAACGACGUGGUUGGGUUCAGGAAGACGUAGAGGUGGCAGAUUAAAACAGGUGAGUUUGUUUUUGGUAAAUGAAGUUGAGGAAGUCAAAGUUGACUCAAACAGCGGUCUCCUGGGUUCAAGUCUUUAGCAGUCACUCUUUGUACUACUUUGUCUGGCUUACUUGCAGCUGGGCGGACAUGAGAGUGACUUGAAAGGGGAUGUUUCUCUAACAGUGUCAAAUUAUAAGGAAAUGGCAGACGGCUGCCAGUAUACUGAUAGCAUUUAUGCUAAGCUAAGCUAGCCGGUUCCCGUCAGCGGCUUCAUAUUUAGCAUAAAGCAAUCUGUUCUUAGUCCAGCGUGUCUCCUAAUAAAGCUGAAGGGCGCCUUGUGCGUUGGAAUCAAACCUCGGAAAGCUGGUCCGAAGUUUCGGUAGAAAAUGGCCGCCUGUAAACAACUUUUAAAAAAGGACGUUCCAAUACGACAAAUCUGACAAUCGCAUUGCGAGGGAAACAGAUUUUCACCCUGAUUACCUUUGCUUUCGAUGUUCACGUAGUCGGGAUGUCACGGGACUUUCACCCAGGAGGCCUUCGUCCCGGGUGAAACCCAAAGUCAACGCUGACUGUAUUUUGAUUUACUUCUAAAAUAUAAAUAACAAAACCAACUUAAACUUGAUGUUUUAGAAAAACUUACCAAGUAGAAAUGUCUUCUAAAGAUGACCAAGCAGCUUUUCAUUGUUUCCAUACACAACAUUAACAUCGCGUUUAUUUUUAAACGUAAUUAGGAACGCAGUUCAGUGGCCUCGGAACGCCAUUUUGUCGGGAUGGUUUGUCACAAAGACGCCGGGGGGACAUCGAUCUGCUCAUCUCCGCUAACUCUCAAAAAGGAAUGGACGUCAUCACACGGAUCUACACGGCGUGCGAUUGUGCCGGACUUCCUGUUUGGUUCAUAACUCCGUUCACAGCCCCACAACAACAACAACAACAACAACAACAACAAGCUGUUUCAUGAGGCAGCGCUGAGGUAAGUGGAGAAGCAGAAAGGCCUCAUUGUUGUUAUUCAUACCCGCCUCUACCUUCAUUGGGCCUUUUAUUCAAUCCGACACGUUUGAAUUAAAGUCUCAUAACUCGACCGUGUGGCUGUAAACUAGUUUGAGGAAAUCACAACAAAUGUAAUUUUGACUUAUAAGCAGCAUCCUCUCUGGACGUCGUGCACGUCGUCCUGCAGCAGCCCGAAGCCCUGAAGCGACACCCCAGUGGCUCCAUUUUUUUAACGUGCCCAAAGUUUCCCUGAGCUCAGCCUCUCUGACCUUUUACCCAAAGUCCUACAGAACCGGGUUUGUUCGAGUCCCUAAGAGAAAAAAAAGAGAGAAAAAGAAACAACAUGUUCGAGCCAGAUGUUGUUCCUUUGCUUCUUUCCACACACUCGUAAAAAUGAAAAGAAUAAUAAAUAAAUGUGUGUGAUGACAUCAGAACGUGCUUGUUGUUUGCGCAGAGGGUUUAUCAUGGGACCGGAUCCACAGACCCGGAUCCGUCUCAGCCCACCAGGUUCCACAAGGAGCUCCUUCACUGAGCCUCCUUGACUCCUCUCCUCUGUCAGCAUCCUUGCGCCCUCUUUUAGUCGCUCGGACCCGGCUCCAGCUGUUCAGUCCCGUCGACAUUUCUUCAAUUUGCAACGAAAAGAAAGUGCCAAAUUUUGGGUUGCAAUCCAUCACCGUCACGACCACGUCACCGGUGUUACGACCACGUCGUUAUCGCAGUAGCGUGAGCAGCGUCCCCGAUGGUGCAUUCAAGGACAUGGCGCUGUGGACCGUUUACACCCGUUCCCAAAAAAGGAGGCCUGGUGUGCAGCUUGUCCAGGAGCUUGUGCUCGUUAGUGUGAUGAAUACACCAGAACUAUUCCACAUGUAUAUGAGCUGAAGCCGCUCUGACCAACACUGUGAGUGGAUCAGAGGACCAUGUGCCGGGUGACAGCUGCAGAACACUGGUGGUCUGUUGGUGUCAUAAUAAUUAUCUAAUCCAGUGGUUCUCAACCUUUUAUUCAGUGAUGUACCGCAUGUGAACUAUUUAUUUUCUCAGCCCAGUACCCUUUGACUACCGCAAAGCAUUGUGGGUUGAACUUUUUUUUAAUAUGCAGCAUUUUGCCAUCAAUGUCAGAUUUAAUAUAUAAUAUAUACAAUUCAGUUCAUGAAUUUACACUUAUAUAUUUUAUUGAAUAUUUAUAAAAUAAUUAUUUUAAAAGGCUUUUUUAAUUGAUUCUCAUUUUAAAUGUAUUUAAAACAAA